CUACGGGGGGCUGCAGUGGGGAAUAUUGGACAAUGGGGGAAACCCUGGUCCAGCAAUGCCGCGUGUGUGAAGAAGGCCUGCGGGUUGUAAAGCACUUUCGGUUGGGAGGACUGCUUCUAGCACUAAUAUUGUUGGAAGUUGACGUUACCUUCAGAAGAAGCACCGGGUAACUCCGUGCCAGCGGCCGCGGUAAUACGGAGGGUGCAAGCGUUAAUCGGAAUUACUGGGCGUAAAGCGCGCGUAGGCGGCUAGAUCAGUCGGGUGUGAAAGCCCCGGGCUUAACCUGGGAACUGCAUCCGAUACUGUCUAGCUUGAGUACAGGAGAGGAGAGUGGAAUUCCACAUGUAGCGGUGAAAUGCGUAGAUAUGUGGAGGAACACCAAUGGCGAAGGCAGCUCUCUGGCCUGAUACUGACGCUGAGGUGCGAAAGCGUGGGGAGCAAACAGGAUUAGAUACCCCCGUAGUC
rnacentral:rRNA from 1 species